GGCUGCGUGGCCCAGUGGUUAAGGCAUCUGCUUUACAGCGAUUGUGUAUCGCAGAGGAUCGCAGGUUCGAGCCCUGCCGCGGUCA